rnacentral:rRNA from 1 species
AGGUAAGCUACUAAGAGCGAAUGGUGGAUGCCUUGACUGGUAAAGGCGAUGAAGGACGUACUAGACUGCGAUAAGCUACGGGGAGCUGUCAAGAAGCUUUGAUCCGUAGAUUUCCGAAUGGGGCAACCCAAUGUAUAGAGAUAUACAUUACCUAUAUAGGAGCGAACGAGGGGAAUUGAAACAUCUUAGUACCCUCAGGAAAAGAAAUCAAUAGAGAUUGCGUCAGUAGCGGCGAGCGAAAGCGCAAGAGGGCAAACCCAGUGCUUGCACUGGGGGUUGUAGGACUGCAAUGUGCAAGAGGUAAGUUUAGCAGAACAUUCUGGAAAGUAUAACCAUAGAGGGUGAUAGUCCCGUAUGCGAAAAACAAACCUUAGCUAGCAGUAUCCUGAGUAGGGCGGGACACGAGGAAUCCUGUCUGAAUCCGGGUCGACCACGAUCCAACCCUAAAUACUAAUACCAGAUCGAUAGUGCACAAGUACCGUGAGGGAAAGGUGAAAAGAACUGAGGUGAUCAGAGUGAAAUAGAACCUGAAACCAUUUGCUUACAAUCAUUCAGAGCCCUAUGUAGCAAUACAGGGUGAUGGACUGCCUUUUGCAUAAUGAGCCUGCGAGUUGUGGUGUCUGGCAAGGUUAAGCAAACGCGAAGCCGUAGCGAAAGCGAGUCUGAAUAGGGCGCUUAGUCAGAUGCUGCAGACCCGAAACGAAGUGAUCUAUCCAUGAGCAAGUUGAAGCUAGUGUAAGAACUAGUGGAGGACUGAACCCAUAGGCGUUGAAAAGCCCCGGGAUGACUUGUGGAUAGGGGUGAAAGGCCAAUCAAACUUCGUGAUAGCUGGUUCUCUCCGAAAUAUAUUUAGGUAUAGCGUUGUGUCGUAAUAUAAGGGGGUAGAGCACUGAAUGGGCUAGGGCAUACACCAAUGUACCAAACCCUAUCAAACUCCGAAUACCUUAUAUGUAAUCACAGCAGUCAGGCGGCGAGUGAUAAAAUCCGUCGUCAAGAGGGAAACAACCCAGACUACCAGCUAAGGUCCCUAAAUCUUACUUAAGUGGAAAACGAUGUGAAGUUACUUAAACAACCAGGAGGUUGGCUUAGAAGCAGCCAUCCUUUAAAGAAAGCGUAAUAGCUCACUGGUCUAGUGAUUUUGCGCGGAAAAUAUAACGGGGCUAAAGUAAGUACCGAAGCUGUAGACUUGCACACAACUUAGAUUAUUUAAGUUUAGAAUAUGAGAAACUAAGUUAUAUGUUUAGUUAUAUUUUUACUGAUUUUUAUAGAGUAAAGAUAGAAAUAAAACUUAGUAAAAUCAGUAAAAAUAUUCUUAGACUAAAGUUAAGUAGUUUAAGUUGUGUGCAAGUGGUAGGAGAGCGUUCUAUUUGCGUCGAAG